UCAGGUCACAAAGGGUGAUGUGUAUAUGGACAUGUUGUCAGGCCACAAAGGGUGAUGUGUAUAUGGACAUGUUGUCAGGCCACAAAGGGUGAUGCCGGGGUUUGUGUAUAUAUGGACAUGUUGUCAGGCCACAAAGGGUGAUGCCGGGGUUUGUGUAUAUAUGGACAUGUUGUCAGGCCACAAAGGGUGAUGCCGGGGUUUGUGUAUAUAUGGACAUGUUGUCAGGCCACAAAGGGUGAUGCCGGGGUUUGUGUAUAUAUGGACAUGUUGUCAGGCCACAAAGGGUGAUGCCGGGGUUUGUGUAUAUAUGGACAUGUUGUCAGGCCACAAAGGGUGAUGCCGGGGUUUGUGUAUAUAUGGACAUGUUGUCAGGCCACAAAGGGUGAUGCCGGGGUUUGUGUAUAUAUGGACAUGUUGUCAGGCCACAAAGGGUGAUGUGUAUAUGGACAUGUUGUCAGGUCACAAAGGGUGAUGUAUAUAUGGACAUGUUGUCAGGCCACAAAGGGUGAUGUGUAUAUGGACAUGUUGUCAGGCCACAAAGGGUGAUGUAUAUAUGGACAUGUUGUCAGGCCACAAAGGGUGAUGUGUAUAUGGACAUGUUGUCAGGCCACAAAGGGUGAUGUGUAUAUGGACAUGUUGUCAGGCCACAAAGGGUGAUGUGUAUGUGGACAUGUUGUCAGGCCACAAAGGGUGAUGUGUAUAUGGACACGUUGUCAGGCCACAAAGGGUGAUGUGUAUAUGGACAUGUUGUCAGGCCACAAAGGGUGAUGUGUAUAUGGACAUGUUGUCAGGCCACAAAGGGUGAUGCCGGGGUUUGUGUAUAUAUGGACAUGUUGUCAGGUCACAAAGGGUGAUGUGUAUAUGGACAUGUUGUCAGGUCACAAAGGGUGAUGUGUAUAUGGACAUGUUGUCAGGUCACAAAGGGUGAUGUGUAUAUGGACAUGUUGUCAGGUCACAAAGGGUGAUGUGUAUAUGGACAUGUUGUCAGGCCACAAAGGGUGAUGUAUAUAUGGACAUGUUGUCAGGCCACAAAGGGUGAUGUGUAUAUGGACAUGUUGUCAGGCCACAAAGGGUGAUGUGUAUAUGGACAUGUUGUCAGGCCACAAAGGGUGAUGCCGGGGUUUGUGUAUAUAUGGACAUGUUGUCAGGCCACAAAGGGUGAUGCCGGGGUUUGUGUAUAUAUGGACAUGUUGUCAGGCCACAAAGGGUGAUGCCGGGGUUUGUGUAUAUAUGGACAGGCAUUUUUGAACAGACUGUUGGUUACCCAUCGUUGACCUGACACUCAAUUCUCCAUUU